rnacentral:rRNA from 1 species
GGGACACGUGGUAUCCUGUCUGAAUAUGGGGGGACCAUCCUCCAAGGCUAAAUACUCCUGACUGACCGAUAGUGAACCAGUACCGUGAGGGAAAGGCGAAAAGAACCCCGGCGAGGGGAGUGAAAAAGAACCUGAAACCGUGUACGUACAAGCAGUGGGAGCCUCUUUUAUGGGGUGACUGCGUACCUUUUGUAUAAUGGGUCAGCGACUUAUAUUCUGUAGCAAGGUUAACCGAAUAGGGGAGCCGAAGGGAAACCGAGUCUUAACUGGGCGUUAAGUUGCAGGGUAUAGACCCGAAACCCGGUGAUCUAGCCAUGGGCAGGUUGAAGGUUGGGUAACACUAACUGGAGGACCGAACCGACUAAUGUUGAAAAAUUAGCGGAUGACUUGUGGCUGGGGGUGAAAGGCCAAUCAAACCGGGAGAUAGCUGGUUCUCCCCGAAAGCUAUUUAGGUAGCGCCUCGUGAAUUCAUCUCCGGGGGUAGAGCACUGUUUCGGCAAGGGGGUCAUCCCGACUUACCAACCCGAUGCAAACUGCGAAUACCGGAGAAUGUUAUCACGGGAGACACACGGCGGGUGCUAACGUCCGUCGUGAAGAGGGAAACAACCCAGACCGCCAGCUAAGGUCCCAAAGUCAUGGUUAAGUGGGAAACGAUGUGGGAAGGCCCAGACAGCCA